rnacentral:lncRNA from 1 species
CUCAUGCAUUUUAACUCAGACUGAAUUACCCCACCAGCUUUCUUGAUUUUCCAGCUUGCAGGUGGCAGAUAAUGAGACUUCUCAGCCUCCAUAAUCAUAGUUUCGUUCUUGUUGCCCAGGCUGGAGUGCAAAGGCAUGGUCUCAGCUCACUGCAACCUCCACCUGGAGUUUAAGCCAUUCUCCUGCCUCAGCCUCCCAAGUAGCUGGGAUUACACAUGUCCACCACUACGCCCAAAAUACCACUGGAAGGUCCAAGAUCCAGGGGCCCACAUCUGCUAAGGGCUUUCAUGCCGUGUCAUCCCAUGAGGAAAGACAGAGGCAAGGAGAGUCAGAUCCAGAGAAAAGUGACACAUCUAGAUACAAAUUCUAGGAUCUUCCCGCCUUUCAGUAUCAUCACUGCUUUUCCACUUUGACACUAUAUGAACUUC